rnacentral:rRNA from 1 species
GGUCAAGCUACAAAGGGCUCAUGGCGGAUACCUUGGCACACAGAGGCGAUGAAGGACGUGGUUACCUGCGAUAUGUCUCGGGGAGCUGGAUACACACUUUGAUCCGGGAAUUUCCGAAUGGGGCAACCCUUAGAACG